UCCAUAGGCGGGCAGCUCAGUCAGUGGUGAAAGUUUGCAGCUCAACUGUAAAAUUGCCAUUGAUACUGGUUGUCUUGAAUUAAUGUGAAGUGGUUAGAAUAUGUAGUGUAGCGGUGAAAUGCAUAGAUAUUACAUAGAAUACCAAUUGCGAAGGCAGAUCACUAACAUUAUAUUGACGCUGAUGGACGAAAGCGUGGGGAGCGAACAGGAUUAGAUACCCUGGUAGUCC
rnacentral:rRNA from 1 species